UUCUUUCAGAAUACUAAGUCAGUGCACGGCACUCCCUCGAGAGCAUGCAGUGUCCCACCCCAUGUUUGUGAAUGUCGUCAUCAUGAACAGUGUUUUGGUCAAUAGCCAGGGAAAAGUCACGCAAUAAUGCUACCACAUCACCUACCAGGAACAAUAGGGAACAUGAAAGAGUAAAUGCACAUGGAACUCUGCAAUGAGUUGUACUUGGUUGAAAGUAUUGCCUGGGUAUGGUAACUCACAACUUGAAUCCGAGCACUUGGGAGGAUGAAGCAGGAAGAUUUGAAGUCAAGGCCAGCCUAGCUACAUAAUGAGUUUCAGGACAGCCUGUGCUACCAAAAACCUAUCUUACAUGACCAACCACAAGAUCUGUUAAGGUGGCUCUGAGGGUGUGGUGGUUUGAAUAAAAAUGGCACCCACAGGCUCACUGUUAGGAGGUA